CAGCAGCCGCGGUAAUACGUAGGGUGCGAGCGUUGCCCGGAUUUAUUGGGCGUAAAGGGCGCGUAGGCGGUCACGCACGUCCGUUGUGAAAUCGCUCGGCUCAACUGGGCGGGGUCAGCGGAUACGGCGUGGCUGGAGCAAGCUAGGGGGCAAUGGAAUUCCCGGUGUAGUGGUGGAAUGCGUAGAUAUCGGGAGGAACACCAGUGGCGAAGGCGGUUGCCUGGAGCUUUGCUGACGCUGAUGCGCGAAAGCGUGGGGAGCGAUCCGGAUUAGAUACCCGGGUAGUCCACGCCGUAAACCAUGCGGACUAGGUGUCGGGGGUAUCGACCCCCUCGGCGCCGCAGCUAACGCAUUAAGUCCGCCGCCUGGGGACUACGGCCGCAAGGCUAAAACUCAAAGGAAUUGACGG
rnacentral:rRNA from 1 species